GGCUCACCUAGGCGACGAUACAUAGCCGACCUGAGAGGGUGAUCGGCCACACUGGGACUGAGACACGGCCCAGACUCCUACGGGAGGCAGCAGUAGGGAAUCUUCGGCAAUGGGGGCAACCCUGACCGAGCAACGCCGCGUGAGUGAAGAAGGUUUUCGGAUCGUAAAGCUCUGUUGUAAGUCAAGAACGAGUGUGAGAGUGGAAAGUUCACACUGUGACGGUAGCUUACCAGAAAGGGACGGCUAACUACGUGCCAGCAGCCGCGGUAAUACGUAGGUCCCGAGCGUUGUCCGGAUUUAUUGGGCGUAAAGCGAGCGCAGGCGGUUUGAUAAGUCUGAAGUUAAAGGCUGUGGCUCAACCAUAGUUCGCUUUGGAAACUGUCAAACUUGAGUGCAGAAGGGGAGAGUGGAAUUCCAUGUGUAGCGGUGAAAUGCGUAGAUAUAUGGAGGAACACCGGUGGCGAAAGCGGCUCUCUGGUCUGUAACUGACGCUGAGGCUCGAAAGCGUGGGGAGCGAACAGGAUUAGAUACCCUGGUAGUCCACGCCGUAAACGAUGAGUGCUAGGUGUUGGAUCCUUUCCGGGAUUCAGUGCCGCAGCUAACGCAUUAAGCACUCCGCCUGGGGAGUACGACCGCAAGGUUGAAACUCAAAGGAAUUGACGGGGGCCCGCACAAGCGGUGGAGCAUGUGGUUAAAUUCGAAGCAACGCGAAGAACCUUACCAGGUCUUGACAUCCCGAUGCUAUUUCUAGAGAUAGAAAGUUACUUCGGUACAUCGGUGACAGGUGGUGCAUGGUUGUCGUCAGCUCGUGUCGUGAGAUGUUGGGUUAAGUCCCGCAACGAGCGCAACCCCUAUUGUUAGUUGCCAUCAUUCAGUUGGGCACUCUAGCGAGACUGCCGGUAAUAAACCGGAGGAAGGUGGGGAUGACGUCAAAUCAUCAUGCCCCUUAUGACCUGGGCUACACACGUGCUACAAUGGUUGGUACAACGAGUUGCGAGUCGGUGACGGCAAGCUAAUCUCUUAAAGCCAAUCUCAGUUCGGAUUGUAGGCUGCAACUCGCCUACAUGAAGUCGGAAUCGCUAGUAAUCGCGGAUCAGCACGCCGCGGUGAAUACGUUCCCGGGCCUUGUACACACCGCCCGUCACACCACGAGAGUUUGUAACACCCGAAGUCGGUGAGGUAACCUUUUGGAGCCAGCCGCCUAAGGUGGGAUAGAUGAUUGGGGUGAAGUCGUAACAAGGUA
rnacentral:rRNA from 1 species